rnacentral:rRNA from 1 species
CCUACGGGCGGCAGCAGUGAGGAAUAUUGGUCAAUGGUCGGGAGACUGAACCAGCCACGCCGCGUGAGGGAUGAAGGUACAGAGUAUCGUAAACCUCUUUUGUCAGGGAACAACGGCGGGGACGUGUCCCCGGAUGAGUGUACCUGAAGAUAAAGCAUCGGCUAACUCCGUGCCAGCAGCCGCGGUAAUACGGGGGAUACGAGCGUUAUCCGGAUUUAUUGGGUUUAAGGGGUGCGCAGGCGGUCUGUUAAGUCAGCGGUAAAAGCCCGGGGCUCAACCCCGGCCCGCCGUUGAAACUGGCAGUCUCGAGUUGGAGAGAAGUAUGCGGAAUGCGCGGUGUAGCGGUGAAAUGCAUAGAUAUCGCGCAGAACACCGAUGGCGAAGGCAGCAUGCCGGCUCCACACUGACGCUGAGGCACGAAAGCGUGGGUAUCGAACAGGAUUAGAUACCCCAGUAGUC